rnacentral:rRNA from 1 species
GUAGGUGGCAAGCGUUGUCCGGAAUUAUUGGGCGUAAUGCGCGCGCAGGCGGUCCUUUAAGCCUGAUGUGAAAGCCCACGGCUCAACCGUGGAGGGUCAUUGGAAACUGGGGGACUUGAGUACAGAAGAGGAAAGCGGAAUUCCAAGUGUAGCGGUGAAAUGCGUAGAGAUUUGGAGGAACACCAGUGGCGAAGGCGGCUUUCUGGUCUGUAACUGACGCUGAGGCGCGAAAGCGUGGGGAGCAAACAGGGAUUAGAUACCCUGGUAGUCCACGCCGUAAACGAUGAGUGCUAAGUGUUAGGGGGUUUCCGCCCCCUUAGUGCUGCAGCUAACGCAUUAAGCACUCCGCCUGGGGAUACGGCCGCAAGGCUG